UGGGGAAUAUUGCACAAUGGGCGAAAGCCUGAUGCAGCGACGCCGCGUGAGGGAUGACGGCCUUCGGGUUGUAAACCUCUUUCAGUAGGGACGAAGCGCAAGUGACGGUACCUGCAGAAGAAGCACCGGCUAACUACGUGCCAGCAGCCGCGGUAAUACGUAGGGUGCGAGCGUUGUCCGGAAUUACUGGGCGUAAAGACCUCGUAGGCGGUUUGUCACGUCGUCUGUGAAAUCCUAGGGCUUAACCCUGGACGUGCAGGCGAUACGGGAUGACUUGAGUACUACAGGGGAGACUGGAAUUUCGGGUGUAGCGGUGGAAUGCACAGAUAUCAGGAAGAUCACCGAUGGCGAAGGCAGGUCUCUGGGUAGUAACUUACGCUGAGGAGCGAAAGCAUAGGUAGCGAACAGG
rnacentral:rRNA from 1 species